UUUGUGUAUUAAAAAUUAUAAAAGCAGUGAAGACUUAAGGGAAGGGGAAUUUAAAAAUUGAGAAAGUCCUUUCUAUUUCUCUUUUAAUUUACAACUGGUUUAUAGGUGUGGCAUUUACAGAUUCUUUUCCUAAUGCACUCAUUCUCACUUUAUUCUCUCUAUUGUAAGAAUUACUUUAAUUACUUUUAUACUGUAUAGAUGGGGAAAUGGAGACACAGAUCUGACUCAGGUCACAUAGCAAAGGAUUGGGAGUCAAAAACAUGAAUUCAGACCUCCUGAUAUUCUAUCCAAUAAUCUUUCACUGUCUUGUACUGCUUGGAGGUAUCUCUGUUUUCAUUUUGGUUUAAAGUUUUUCUUUUAGCUUUUUUGGGUUUUUUUAACAACAAUAAUACACAAUCAUUAAAAAAUUUUCAGAAAAGAAGAAUGAAGAGAGUAAAGAUAUAUUCCUGUAUAUAUAUGUUUAUAUAUCUUCCUAUAUUCUUACUGCCUAGAAAUCACUGCUAAUAUUUAACUAUAUCUAUCUUCAGACUUAUUUAAAUAGAUACAUUCACAGAUAUAUUUAUAGAUAGGGUUUUUUAAAUGAGAUCAAACUAUGCCUAAUUUUGUAACUUUUUCAUCUCAAAUAUAAUUUGCUGUCAGUAAAUAUGUCAUAAUUUGUUACAUAGAAUUGCAUUGUAUGAAUGUAUCAUUAUUUAGACUCCUAUUGAUGGACUUCUAGGUGGUUUCCAAUUUUUUGCUAUUACAAAGAAUGUGAUAAAAUCCCUAAUAUAUGAUUCCUUUUAUAUUUUCUGAUCACUUCUUUAAGAAAAAUUUCCAGGAAUAUCCAGUUACCAGGUCAAAAGAUAUGGCGAAACCUUUAGGCCACCAGAGGGCAUUGCAGUCAGCCUCCUUUAUCAUCAUGAUAAAUCACUGCUGUCAGAGAUGCUUAGUGAAAUUUGUUCCCAGUUAAACCAAAAAGAGAAGCAUCCUUAGACUCGAUGAGCAAUCUGCAUAGGACCUGUGGCUUGACCUUGGUGGAGCACUCCCUUGAAGCGCCCAUUUUAUCUAUAAAAGCGAAGAAUGGAGUAGGUAGAUUCAGUGUGCAGGCAAUGAAAAAAAAAAAAAAACAACAACUGGAAUCUUUUUUCCUACUUGGUUGACAUAUUUACUAAGAAUUUAACUCUUUCAAGUCUGUGAGUCCCUGCAUCUUUCCCUCAGAGACGAUGGCCUCCUCCCCUUCUCCUACUCAUCCUUCUUAACUGGUAAAAGUUAUACGUGAAUACAUUCUGGUUGUACAGGCUUCAAACAGUAAAAAUGUACGUCCUUGACCUGCUCUCCACCCAGAAGUAAUUACCAUCAACAGUUUGAUACACAACCUAACAGUACCCUUCUAUGAAUUUAAGUCAGUUUAUUUUCUACAUAGUCACCCAAUGUUUUUGAUUCCUUAUUUCCUAAGUAAUGUUCAGUAGCCUUUUUUAUUGAGGAAUUUCAAGGCACAUUAAAAAAAAAUAUCCCUUUGUAAGGAAAAGAAAUCCAGAAAUUUUAGGUUAGAGGAGCCUUUUGGAAUGCACUACCCUGUUACCUUCAAUCACGUCUCUCCUGAGUCUGAGUUCUUGUUUUCCAAAGAAUAGUGAAAAUCUAUUUUUCUCCCUUAGUCCUCUAGUAGCCAGGUUAGAGUGAGAUCAGUGUGACUGUAUUAUCUUCAGAGAGGAAGCACCUCCCCUUCCUUAGAAUAGAGGCACCUGCUGGCUAAGUAGGCAACAGGCCUAAAGAUUUAGGGGCAACAUAUAAUUUCCAGUCCAAACAUCUACCAAAUAUAGAGUGUUACUGUAUUCAAGGCAUUGUGGAGACUGUGGGGUGUGUGAAGAAAUGCAGGGCAAUCCUAGCCCCCAAGAAGCUUGCAGUUUAUUUUGGAAGAUAACCAGCAAUAGAAGAUUGUUUACUUUUAUGUAAAAAGUAGUAUCUAUGGGAGUCAAGAUGGCGGUAUGGGAAGACACGCAGUUAGUCUCCCCACAACUAGGGCAUGUGCCAGCCACUGGUGGGGGACUCUGAUGCCCAAGGACACGGGAGGAACCCCAGAGUGAACCGGUAGGACAUAGGGGGACUGAGGGGGAAGGAGAAGUAGAGGCUGGACAGGGUCGGCGCCCCUGAGGCCGGGGAGAUCAGGAGAGGCAG